CCCCUGUCCAGGGAUGCUGGGCUGACUGGUUGCUGUCUACAGGGACAGGGAGUCUCAGGAAACUUGAGAGAUUCACUGAUGGAGUGGCACCUCUCCUUGGUCCUACAGAGAGGUGUUCAUAGGCCUGGAUUUUCAGCACUCCAUUUGCCACAACGUAAAAGGCAGACACCCCAUGGAGAAGAUAAUCAGAAGGAAGGAGAAUAAAUUUAAGGAGUGA